UGCCAGCCGCCGCGGUAAUACGAACGGUCCAAGCGUUAAGCGGAAUCACUGGGCUUAAAGGGUGCGUAGGCGGGCACGUAAGUACGUUGUGAAAGCCCUCGGCUCAACCGAGGAAUUGCAGCGUAUACUGCGUGUCUUGAGGUCGGUAGAGGCUGUCGGAACUACAGGUGUAGCGGUGAAAUGCAUAGAUAUCUGUGGGAACGCCAAUGGUGAAGACAGACAGCUGGGCCGAUUCUGACGCUGAGGCACGAAAGUGUGGGUAGCGAACAGGAUUAGAUA
rnacentral:rRNA from 1 species